UACGGAGGGUGCGAGCGUUGUCCGGAAUCAUUGGGCGUAAAGGGCGCGUAGGUGGCCCGGUCAGUCCGUGGUGAAAGCGCGGGGCUCAACCCUGCGUCGGCCAUGGAUACUGCCGCGGCUCGAGCACUGUAGAGGCAGGCGGAAUUCCGGGUGUAGCGGUGGAAUGCGUAGAGAUCCGGAAGAACACCGGUGGCGAAGGCGGCCUGCUGGGCAGUAUCGCUGACACUGAGGCGCGACAGCGUGGGGAGCAAACAGG
rnacentral:rRNA from 1 species